UUAACGGAUAAAAGCUACCCCGGGGAUAACAGGCUGAUCGCAUCCAAGCGUCCACAGCGACGAUGCGGUUUGGCACCUUAUUUGAAAAAAUCGGGGCGCCAGAAUAGUAAUAUUCUUGCCUGUAUUUGUGAGUAUUUGAGUCAAAACCAAGGUACUCAUGAUUUAGAAUAACUAGCUCAAAUCGGUGGAACCCUACUUUUCUGAACAAGAAGAGGGCAAUACCGAGGGCCGAUUUAAUCGGCCUGUAUCGACUGCGUUUCGAUCGGAUCGAAACAAGAUAUGAAUCAUUGCUUUAAGCAAAUUUACGGUUCAUAUAAUACGGCUAGCCCCGUCAACGCAUGGCGGGUGAAGGUAUAGUCAAAACUUUUAGUAAUAAGAGAUUUCAAAUCAGUUUUAAGUUUUUAAGUCUUUCUUAGAAUUGAUGAUGAUAGACAGCGAUGUCGGCUCAUCCUAGCGCGGAGGUGGAGAAGCUUCCAAGCGUCUGGCUGUUCGCCAGUUAAAAGGGUACGCGAGCUGGGUUAAGAACGUCGUAAGACAGUUCGGACUCUAUCCAGGACAACCGUUUGAAAUUUGAGAGGAGUCGCCCUUAGUACGAGAGGACUGGGGUGAGGGAAUCCCUGGUGUGCCAGUUGUACUUACAAGUGCAAUGCUGGGUAGCUAGAUUCCCACGGGAUAACCGCUGAAAGCAUCUAAGUGGGAAGCCCACCUCGAGAUAAGAUUUCAUUGAUCCCUGAGAGACCAUCAGGUUGAUAGGCAGCAAGUGUAAGAUUGGCAACAAUUUUAGCUAAGCUGUACUAAUAGAUCAGUUAUAAAUAG
rnacentral:rRNA from 1 species